UGUCCAAUAACUCCUAUCCCUACCUCCCCGUGGUGUCGUCUGGGGUACGAGUAAGAAGGGGAAGG
rnacentral:ribozyme from 1 species